rnacentral:tRNA from 1 species
UAAAAGAUAAGCUAACUGAAGCUAACGGGCUCAUAUCUCGUUUAUGAUUAAUUCUCUUUUAG